rnacentral:rRNA from 1 species
UCAUGGCUCAGGACGAACGCUGGCGGCGUGCUUAACACAUGCAAGUCGAACGGUAAGGCCCCUUCGGGGGUACACGAGUGGCGAACGGGUGAGUAACACGUGGGUAAUCUGCCCUGCACUUCGGGAUAAGCCUGGGAAACUGGGUCUAAUACCGGAUAUGAACUCCUGCCGCAUGGUGGGGGUUGGAAAGUUUUUCGGUGCAGGAUGAGCCCGCGGCCUAUCAGCUUGUUGGUGGGGUAAUGGCCUACCAAGGCGACGACGGGUAGCCGGCCUGAGAGGGUGAUCGGCCACACUGGGACUGAGACACGGCCCAGACUCCUACGGGAGGCAGCAGUGGGGAAUAUUGCACAAUGGGCGAAAGCCUGAUGCAGCGACGCCGCGUGGGGGAUGAUCGGUCUUCGGAUUGUAAACCCCUUUCAGUAGGGACGAAGCGCAAGUGACGGUACCUGCAGAAGAAGCACCGGCUAACUACGUGCCAGCAGCCGCGGUAAUACGUAGGGUGCGAGCGUUGUCCGGAAUUACCGGGCGUAAAGAGCUCGUAGGCGGUUUGUCACGUCGUCUGUGAAAUCCCUCGGCUUAACCGGGGGCGUGCAGGCGAUACGGGCAGACUUGAGUACUACAGGGGAGACUGGAAUUCCUGGUGUAGCGGUGAAAUGCGCAGAUAUCAGGAGGAACACCGGUGGCGAAGGCGGGUCUCUGGGUAGUAACUGACG